rnacentral:rRNA from 1 species
UCCGCCUACGGGGGGCAGCAGUGAGGAAUAUUGGUCAAUGGUCGGGAGACUGAACCAGCCAAGCCGCGUGAGGGAGGAAGGUACAGAGUAUCGUAAACCUCUUUUGUCAGGGAACAAAGACUGGGACGCGUCCCCGGAUGAGUGUACCUGAAGAAAAAGCAUCGGCUAACUCCGUGCCAGCAGCCGCGGUAAUACGGAGGAUGCGAGCGUUAUCCGGAUUUAUUGGGUUUAAAGGGUGCGUAGGCGGGCUGUUAAGUCAGCGGUCAAAUGUCGGGGCUCAACCCGGCCCGGCGGUUGAAACGGGG